GACGAACGCUGGCGGCGUGCCUAAUACAUGCAAGUCGAACGCUUUUAUCUCACCGGGUGCUUGCACCCACCGAGAUAAAGGAGUGGCGGACGGGUGAGUAACACGUGGGUAACCUGCCCAUAAGUGGGGGAUAACAUUCGGAAACGGAUGCUAAUACCGCAUAUCUCUAUUGGCCUCAUGGCCAAGUGAUGAAAGGCGGCUUCGGCUGUCGCUUAUGGAUGGACCCGCGGCGCAUUAGUUAGUUGGUGAGGUAACGGCUCACCAAGACGAUGAUGCGUAGCCGACCUGAGAGGGUGAUCGGCCACACUGGGACUGAGACACGGCCCAGACUCCUACGGGAGGCAGCAGUAGGGAAUCUUCCGCAAUGGACGAAAGUCUGACGGAGCAACGCCGCGUGAGUGAAGAAGGUUUUCGGAUCGUAAAACUCUGUUGUUAGAGAAGAACAAGGAUGAGAGUAACUGCUCGUCCCUUGACGGUAUCUAACCAGAAAGCCAUGGCUAACUACGUGCCAGCAGCCGCGGUAAUACGUAGAUGGCAAGCGUUGUCCGGAUUUAUUGGGCGUAAAGCGAGUGCAGGCGGUUCUUUAAGUCUGAUGUGAAAGCCCCUGGCUUAACCAGGGAGGGUCAUUGGAAACUGGAGGACUUGAGUGCAGAAGAGGAAAGUGGAAUUCCAUGCGUAGCGGUGAAAUGCGUAGAUAUAUGGAGGAACACCAGUGGCGAAGGCGACUUUCUGGGUCUGUAACUGACGCUGAGACUCGAAAGCAUGGGGAGCCAACAGGAUUAGAUACCCUGGGUAGUCCAUGCCGUAAACGAUGAGUGCUAAGUGUGGGAGGGUUUCCGCCCUUCAGUGCUGCAGCUAACGCAUUAAGCACUCCGCCUGGGGAGUACGGCCGCAAGGCUGAAACUCAAAGGAAUUGACGGGGGCCCGCACAAGCGGUGGAGCAUGUGGUUUAAUUCGAAGCAACGCGAAGAACCUUACCAGGUCUUGACAUCCUUUGACCACUCUAGAGAUAGAGCUUUCCCUUCGGGGACAAAGUGACAGGUGGUGCAUGGUUGUCGUCAGCUCGUGUCGUGAGAUGUUGGGUUAAGUCCCGCAACGAGCGCAACCCUUAUUAUUAGUUGCCAGCAUUCAGUUGGGCACUCUAGUGAGACUGCCGGUGACAAACCGGAGGAAGGUGGGGAUGACGUCAAAUCAUCAUGCCCCUUAUGACCUGGGCUACACACGUGCUACAAUGGAUGGUACAACGAGUUGCGAAACAGUGAUGUUUAGCUAAUCUCUUAAAGCCAUUCUCAGUUCGGAUUGUAGGCUGCAAUUCGCCUACAUGAAGCCGGAAUCGCUAGUAAUCGCGGAUCAGCACGCCGCGGUGAAUACGUUCCCGGGCCUUGUACACACCGCCCGUCACACCACGAGAGUCUGUAACACCCAAAGUCGGUGAGGUAACCUUCGGGAGCCAGCGGCCUAAGGUGGGAUGGAUAAUUGGGGUGAAGU
rnacentral:rRNA from 1 species